rnacentral:rRNA from 1 species
AUGGAUAGACCUGUGAAGCUUGCACUAGACGGAUGAGUUGCGAACGGGUGAGUAACGCGUAGGUAACCUGCCUCAUAGCGGGGGAUAACUAUUGGAAACGAUAGCUAAUACCGCAUAACAGUAUUUACCGCAUGGUAGAUAUUUGAAAGGAGCAAUUGCUUCACUAUGAGAUGGACCUGCGUUGUAUUAGCUAGUUGGUGAGGUAACGGCUCACCAAGGCUUCGAUACAUAGCCGACCUGAGAGGGUGAUCGGCCACACUGGGACUGAGACACGGCCCAGACUCCUACGGGAGGCAGCAGUAGGGAAUCUUCGGCAAUGGGGGCAACCCUGACCGAGCAACGCCGCGUGAGUGAAGAAGGUUUUCGGAUCGUAAAGCUCUGUUGUAAGAGAAGAACUGUGAGAAGAGUGGAAAGUUUCUCACUUGACGGUAUCUUACCAGAAAGGGACGGCUAACUACGUGCCAGCAGCCGCGGUAAUACGUAGGUCCCGAGCGUUGUCCGGAUUUAUUGGGCGUAAAGCGAGCGCAGGCGGUUUGAUAAGUCUGAAGUAAAAGGCUGUGGCUUAACCAUAGUACGCUUUGGAAACUGUCAAACUUGAGUGCAGAAGGGGAGAGUGGAAUUCCAUGUGUAGCGGUGAAAUGCGUAGAUAUAUGGAGGAACACCGGUGGCGAAAGCGGCUCUCUGGUCUGUAACUGACGCUGAGGCUCGAAAGCGUGGGGAGCGAACAGGAUUAGAUACCCUGGUAGUCCACGCCGUAAACGAUGAGUGCUAGGUGUUGGGUCCUUUCCGGGACUCAGUGCCGCAGCUAACGCAUUAAGCACUCCGCCUGGGGAGUACGACCGCAAGGUUGAAACUCAAAGGAAUUGACGGGGGCCCGCACAAGCGGUGGAGCAUGCGGUUUAAAUCGAAGCAACGCGGAAGAACCUUACCAGGUCUUGACAUCCCGAUGACCGCCCUAAAAGAUAGGGUUUCUCUUCGGAACGUCGGUGAACAGUGGUGCAAGGUUGUCGUCAGCUCGUGUCGUGAGAUGUUGGGUUAAGUCCCGCAACGAGCGCAACCCCUAUUGUUAGUUGCCAUCAUUCAGUUGGGCACUCUAGCGAGACUGCCGGUAAUAAACCGGAGGAAGGUGGGGAUGACGUCAAAUCAUCAUGCCCCUUAUGACCUGGGCUACACACGUGCUACAAUGGCUGGUACAACGAGUCGCAAGUCGGUGACGGCAAGCUAAUCUCUUAAAGCCAGUCUCAGUUCGGAUUGUAGGCUGCAACUCGCCUACAUGAAGUCGGAAUCGCUAGUAAUCGCGGAUCAGCACGCCGCGGUGAAUACGUUCCCGGGCCUUGUACACACCGCCCGUCACACCACGAGAGUUUGUAACACCCGAAGUCGGGAGAGUAAGCUCAU